GGCCCCUUGGUCAAGCGGUUAAGACUCCAGAUUUUCAUUCUGGCAACAUGGGUUCGAUUCCCGUAGGGGUCA
rnacentral:tRNA from 2 species